rnacentral:rRNA from 1 species
UACGUAGGGGGCGAGCGUUGUCCGGAAUUAUUGGGCGUAAAGAGCGUGUAGGCGGUUCGGUAAGUCUACCGUGAAAACCUGGGGCUCAACCCCGGGCGUGCGGUGGAUACUGCCGGGCUAGAGGGUGGUAGAGGCGAGUGGAAUUCCCGGUGUAGCGGUGAAAUGCGCAGAUAUCGGGAGGAACACCAGUAGCGAAGGCGGCUCGCUGGGCCAUUCCUGACGCUGAGACGCGAAAGCUAGGGGAGCGAACAGG